GUUUACGUCUGUCAUAUGAAAACUGAAGGUGUCAGAGUGACUGGCAGCACAGGAGUCACAGGGUUCUCUCUGAUUCCUUUAAAGAAUCAGCAGCAAAUUCUAUGACAGACACUUCGUGCCGACAUGUCCGCUACCUGCAGCUUCUUAUCUCGCGAUGAGCUUCUGUGCUGCAUCUGUCUGGACGUGUUCACUGAUCCGGUCACCAUACCGUGCAGACACAGCUUCUGCAAGAGCUGCAUCACACAACACUGGACCGUCAAUGACCUCAACACAUGUCCCAUGUGCAGGAGAUCUUUCAAGAGAAGACCUGAGCUACAUGUUGACGCUGACAUUUCUGAGAUGGUUCAUCAGCUCAGACAGUUAACUGGAGAGGAAAUCAGCGUCUGCUCAAAGGAACGAGAGGACAAAGCAGACGUUCUGUGUGACGUCUGCACCAGAACCAAACUGAAGGCUGUCAAGUCCUGCCUGGUGUGUCUGACCUCCUACUGUGAGACUCAUCUGGAGCUUCAUCACAGAUUCCCAGGUCUGAGGAGACAUCAGCUGAUGGAUCCGGAAAAGAACCUGGAGGACAAACUGUGGAAGAAGCAUGACAGAGCUGUGGUGCUGCUCUGUGGGAUUCAGUAGAUAUGUGUGUGUUGGAACAUACUAACCACCGCUUUGUGCUUCUGGAGGAACGAUUUUAAAGACAGAAGGCAGAGCUGGGGAGACAGAUCACGGAAAGACGACAGGACCUAAACAACCCCUUUGAGGACAGAAACGAAACAUCUUGGAUAGGAGGUCAAACAUCUUCAAGAACCAUAAAAAGAAGUCCAGUUGAUUUCUACUGAUUGAAUUACCGGGACGUGGAUGACUGAAAGCCUACAGAGACUCUUCGGGAACAUUUUACAGCUAGGUCAGUUUAAAGAGAAGACUGGCUGGACCGUCAGAGAGGCAGGAAAUACUAGAAGUCUGGAGAAGUUCAAGGUGCAUAAAAAAUCCUAUUUUAGUUAAAAUGCAGUUAAAAUGUGUAAGUAAAACUACUGGUUUUGGUACCUCUGACUGAUAUAUUGUUAGAUAUGACAUCUUUAGAUUAUUAAUAGUGAAGCAUCAGUGUGCUAGAAGCAUGUUACUGUUGGAGCUGCUGCAGGUUUUAACAACUUGAUAUCACUUUACUGAGGGUUCAUCACAGGAUAAAUGGUUCAAUAGAUAAAAAAAAUUAAGCUCUGGUCCACAAAUCUGUUUUUCUCUUUUCUCUGAUUUUUACAGAGAUAUUGGAUCAUUGGAAUAUUUUCUGAAAUGAAACCAUGAUAAAUGUUCAGAGGGAAAAAUGGCUUUUUUGGUGGCGCUGUAAACAACUCAUAGACAUCUGAAAUGUGAGCCAGACUACGCUGCUUUUUGUAAGAAGCCACAGCGUCAAUCCUUCAUAAUGUGCUGUGUUUUAAAAGCUUUUUGUAUCACUAAUAAUCCAAUGUCUUCAUCUCAAAUGUAACUCAAACUGUCAGAUAAAUGUAGUAGAGUAAAAAGUGCAAUAUUACCAUCUGAAAUGUUGAGGGGUGAAGCUGGAAAGUAAAAAAAAAAAACGUUUUCAAAAACUGCAGUUGCCGUGACCUGGGUCAGCAUUGCUUUGAUGGAAGUCCAUAUAAAAAGGAGGUGUCAGUGUGUUUUCCAUUAACUAGCAAUGACAGGACAACUGAGUGCUGCAGUGACACUCAGUUUGUGGAGAUUGGAAACAGAGAAAGGCGGUUUUAGCAGGUAAUACAUGCUGAACCUUGGUGAAACGUCAUAGGUUUGUAUAAACAAAACACAGAUGAAGCUACAGGAAAGUACAGAACUGUCAGUGAGGUGUGUCUCUAACUCACCCUGAAAGCAGGAGUAGGAAGGUGUGGAUGUGGUUUUUCAUCAAACGGUGCUGUACAGAUGUAGCAUAGAUUUAUGUUUUGUCUUUAUCUCAGUGUGAAGCCACAGAGGGCCUCUUUAGGGGUACUUGAUCUAGGUCAGAGUACUUUCAAUUCAAUUUAAAGUACUCUGACACCUGCCGCAUGUCUUCAUGGUUUGAUUGGAGCAUUUCCAACAGUUACUGUAAAGAUUUUGAAAUGUUAUUUGCACACGUGCACACAGAAUAGUAUGGUAUGUAAACUGAAAUUACACUUUUUAAAGCUCUGUUUGUUAAUAAGAAUCCGUUGCGUUUUUUUCAGUAAGGAAUGUAUUUUUUCAUUAAUAAAUAAAGGUAUUGUCAAAACUUG